AGCUUUGUGCAGUGGCAGUAUCAUAGCCACUGAGGUUUAUCCAAGGCAUGAUUAUUGGUAAUUGAAAACAAAAGUUUGGUUCAACUC
rnacentral:snRNA from 1 species